CCUACGGGAGGCAGCAGUGGGGAAUAUUGGGCAAUGGAGGCAACUCUGACCCAGCAACGCCGCGUGAAGGAAGAAGGCCUUAGGGUUGUAAACUUAUGUUGUAAAGGAAGAAAAGAAUGACGGUACUUUACAAGAAAGCCCCGGCUAACUAUGUGCCAGCAGCCGCGGUAAGACAUAGGGGGCAAGCGUUGUUCGGAAUUACUGGGCGUAAAGGGAGCGUAGGCGGGAGAUUAAGUUAAGAGUGAAAGCCUUGGGCUCAACCCAAGAAAUGCUCUUAAUACUGGUUUUCUAGAGAGUAGAUGCGGUAGGCGGAAUGUAUGGUGUAGCGGUGAAAUGCUUAGAGAUCAUACAGAACACCGAUUGCGAAGGCAGCUUACCAAUCUAUAUCUGACGUUGAGGCACGAAAGCGUGGGGAGCAAACAGGAUUAGAUACCCUAGUAGUC
rnacentral:rRNA from 1 species